rnacentral:lncRNA from 1 species
GGAAGGGGCCUGGGCCUGGGGGAGACAAAAAGGAAGGAGGGACAGGGCGGGGUCCUCAAGGGCGUUGUGGUCAGGGUUUGGCCUUCAUCCCGAGAUCCAGAAAAACCUGAGAAGAAACCCGGGGCAGGGGCUGAAGUGCUCCCCCACAUUCUGCUGAGAAGGGAUUGGGUAGAGGGUCAGAGUAGACCCCUGCCCGUCACGGCUGUACAGGCCUGGGCCCAGAGCACUACUGGUAAAUGACUCCUCCCCAAAUCCAGUCUUCGACUCACAGAAGUAAAAUUCAGAUCAGAAUCUUCUUAUUAUUUAAUAACUUCUUUUUUCUGAAUGUAAAGUAAACACUCCACACUGCAGGGCGUUGGGCAGUCACCAAAUCUGAAGGACUCUGUGGGAAGGAAGGGUCCGGCUCCUCUCCUGGAGAACCGGGCCUCGGAGCAAGUUAACUCAGGCUUCCAGCCUGUUCUGGGCGUCAGCCUGACUCCCAGGUUCUUUGAUAGGUAGUGAGUCCCCCAUUCCUGGGGGCAUGUAGGCUGUCUACGUGGAGUUAAAAAAAAAAAAAA